AUACGGGGGGGGCAAGCGUUGUCCGGAAUUAUUGGGCGUAAAGGGCGUGUAGGCGGAAUGGUAAGUCAGAGGUGAAAAUUCUAAGCUUAACUUAGGACCUGCCUUUGAUACUGCUAUUCUUGAGUACGAGAGAGGAAAGCGGAAUUCCCGGUGUAGCGGUGAAAUGCGUAGAUAUCGGGAAGAACAUCGGUAGCGAAGGCGGCUUUCUGGCUCGAAACUGACGCUGAGGUACGAAAGCGUGGGGAGCAAACAGGAUUAGAAACCCCAGUAGUCC
rnacentral:rRNA from 1 species